GUCUCUUCGGAGACAUCUGAUAAAAUUGGAACGAUACAGAGAAGAUUAGCAUGGCCCCUGCGCAAGGAUGACACGCACAAAUCGAGAGAUGGUCCAAAUUUUU
rfam:Physcomitrella patens subsp. patens PHYPAscaffold_73 genomic scaffold, whole genome shotgun sequence.